rnacentral:rRNA from 1 species
UACGUAGGGGGCGAGCGUUGUCCGGAUUUAUUGGGCGUAAAGAGCUCGUAGGUGGUUUGGUAAGUCGGAUGUGAAAUCUCCAGGCUCAACCUGGAGGGGUCAUUCGAUACUGCCAUGACUAGAGUUCGGUAGGGGAGUGUGGAAUUCCUGGUGGAGCGGUGAAAUGCGUAGAGAUCCGGAGGAACACCGACGGCGCAGGCAGCGUCCUGGCCGCUUGCUGACACUGAGGCACGAAAGCUGGGGGAGCAAACAGG